rnacentral:rRNA from 1 species
ACUCCUACGGGAGGCAGCAGUGGGGAAUAUUGCACAAUGGGGGAAACCCUGAUGCAGCCAUGCCGCGUGUGUGAAGAAGGCCUUCGGGUUGUAAAGCACUUUCAGUAGGGAGGAAGGUAGUGUAGUUAACACCUGCAUUAUUUGUACGUUACCUACAGAAGAAGCACCGGCUAACUCCGUGCCAGCAGCCGCGGUAAUACGGAGGGUGCGAGCGUUAAUCGGAAUUACUGGGCGUAAAGCGCAUGCAGGCGGCCUGUUAAGUCAGAUGUGAAAGCCCGGGGUCUUAACCUCGGAAUUGCAUUUGAAACUGGCAGGCUAGAGUCUUGUAGAGGGGUUAGAAUUUCAGGUGUAGCGGUGAAAUGCGUAGAGAUCUGAAGGAAUACCAGUGGCGAAGGCGG